rnacentral:rRNA from 1 species
AGCAGCAGCCGCGGGAAAACGUAGGUGGCAAGCGUUGUCCGGAAUUAUUGGGCGUAAAUGGCUCGCAGGCGGUUUCUUAAGUCUGAUGUGAAAGCCCCCGGCUCAACCGGGGAGGGUCAUUGGAAACUGGGAAACUUGAGUGCAGAAGAGGAGAGUGGAAUUCCACGUGUAGCGGUGAAAUGCGUAGAGAUGUGGAGGAACACCAGUGGCGAAGGCGACUCUCUGGUCUGUAACUGACGCUGAGGAGCGAAAGCGUGGGGAGCGAACAGGAUUAGAUACCCCUGUAGUCCCUGUCUCUUAUAC